AGUGAACGCUGGCGGUAGGCCUAACACAUGCAAGUCGAACGGCAGCACAGUAAGAGCUUGCUCUUACGGUUGGCGAGUGGCGGACGGGUGAGGAAUACAUCGGAAUCUACUUUUUCGUGGGGGAUAACGUAGGGAAACUUACGCUAAUACCGCAUACGACCUACGGCUGAAAGCAGUGGAUCUUCGGACCUUGCGCGAUUGAAUUAGCCGAUGUCGGAUUAGCUAGUUGGCUGGGUAAAGGCCCACCAAGGCGACGAUCCGUAGCUGGUCUGAGAGGAUGAUCAGCCACACUGGAACUGAGACACGGUCCAGACUCCUACGGGAGGCAGCUGUAGGGAAUAUUGGGCAAUGGGCGCAAGCCUGAUCCAGCCAUACCGCGUGGGUGAAGAAGGCCUUCGGGUUGUAAAGCCCUUUUGUUGGGAAAGAAAAGCAGCAGAUUAAUACCCCGCUGUUCUGACGGUACCCAAAGAAUAAGCACCGGCUAACUACGUG
rnacentral:rRNA from 1 species